rnacentral:tRNA from 1 species
GGGUCGGUGCCCGAGUGGCCAAAGGGAACGGGCUGUAAACCCGUCGGCUAACGCCUACGGAGGUUCAAAUCCUCCCCGGCCCACAA